rnacentral:rRNA from 1 species
GACGAACGCUGGCGGCGUGCUUAACACAUGCAAGUCGAACGGAAAGGCCCUGCUUUUGUGGGGUGCUCGAGUGGCGAACGGGUGAGUAACACGUGAGUAACCUGCCCUUGACUUUGGGAUAACUUCAGGAAACUGGGGCUAAUACCGGAUAGGAGCUCCUGCUGCAUGGUGGGGGUUGGAAAGCUUCGGCGGUUGGGGAUGGACUCGCGGCUUAUCAGCUUGUUGGUGGGGUAGUGGCUUACCAAGGCUUUGACGGGUAGCCGGCCUGAGAGGGUUACCGGCCACAUUGGGACUGAGAUACGGCCCAGACUCCUACGGGAGGCAGCAGUGGGGAAUAUUGCACAAUGGGCGGAAGCCUGAUGCAGCAACGCCGCGUGCGGGAUGACGGCCUUCGGGUUGUAAACCGCUUUCGCCUGUGACGAAGCGUGAGUGACGGUAAUGGGUAAAGAAGCACCGGCUAACUACGUG